GUAAGGAAUAUUGGUCAAUGGGCGGAAGCCUGAACCAGCCAUGCCGCGUGCAGGAAGACGGCCCUACGGGUUGUAAACUGCUUUUAUACGGGAAUAAACCUCGAUACGUGUAUCGAGCUGAAUGUACUGUAAGAAUAAGGAUCGGCUAACUCCGUGCCAGCAGCCGCGGUAAUACGGAGGAUCCAAGCGUUAUCCGGAUUUAUUGGGUUUAAAGGGUGCGUAGGUGGCCUGUUAAGUCAGGGGUGAAAGACGGUAGCUUAACUAUCGCAGUGCCCUUGAUACUGAUGGGCUUGAAUGAACUAGAGGUAGGCGGAAUGUGACAAGUAGCGGUGAAAUGCAUAGAUAUGUCACAGAACACCAAUUGCGAAGGCAGCUUACUAUGGUUUUAUUGACACUGAGGCACGAAAGCGUGGGGAUCAAACAGGAUUAGAUACCCUUGUAGUCC
rnacentral:rRNA from 1 species